rnacentral:lncRNA from 1 species
CACGUUUUGAUGUACAGUAGGGCAAGUAUUUUCACAUGUUCUCCAAGAUUCCACGUCUCUGUCUGGCCAGAUACUUCAUUCAGGUCCUGGCUCUCCCCACCAGGUUCCUCUGUCUGUGCUGAAUCAGGUCCCACCAGCAUCCAGGAGGCAGAAUGGCUCAUGCGGCAGUCAAAAGCCCCGUAUCUGUCAGCAGCUACUGUCCCCUAUGCCUGUUUCCUCAUCUGUAUAAUGGGGCCACAUCCAGUCGUCCAGCUAUUAAACUUCUCCUGCGGGCCGGAUCCCAUGCUAGUUCCUGGGGAUACAGAAAUAAAUAAGACCCGCGUCUCGCCCUCCAGGAUUUUAUAGUCUCGUGGGGGAAUAUGAAUAAAAAGAAUCACCUCCAUUCA